rnacentral:rRNA from 1 species
CUACGGGUUGCACCAGUGAGGAAUAUUGGUCAAUGGGCGAGAGCCUGAACCAGCCAAGUCGCGUGAAGGAUGAAGGUCUUAUGGAUUGUAAACUUCUUUUAUAAGGGAAUAAAAAAGAUCACGUGUGGUUUAUUGCAUGUACCUUAUGAAUAAGCAUCGGCUAACUCCGUGCCAGCAGCCGCGGUAAUACGGAGGAUGCGAGCGUUAUCCGGAUUUAUUGGGUUUAAAGGGUGCGUAGGCGGUUUGUUAAGUCAGUGGUGAAAGUUUUCGGCUCAACCGGAAAAUUGCCAUUGAAACUGACAGACUUGAGUGUAAACGAGGUAGGCGGAAUUCGUGGUGUAGCGGUGAAAUGCUUAGAUAUCACGAAGAACUCCAAUUGCGAAGGCAGCUUACUAGGCUACAACUGACGCUGAAGCACGAAAGCGUGGGGAUCAAACAGGAUUAGAUACCCCCGUAGUC